GGUACCGAGCAAAGUUUCGCUUCACGAAUCCGGCCGGAGACAAGCUCGAGGAAAGUGACGCAAGGAGGGAAUAAAACCCGUCGAUAAAAAUGGUGUGGCCAACGCUCAAGAGUAAAACACUCGGUCAUCUGGCGGAGAAAAAAGAAGACACUACAAAUGCCACCAAAUCGAGAAGUGGGUGUCUGAAGUGCGGAAAUCGGUGCAAGAAAUGCGGCCCCGAUUGCAAAUGCACUAUUAGAAGAGUUUACAUUCGGGCACCGAUGUUCAACUACUAUACCGACUUGAUGCACUAACGAAUUGCUCUUCAAAAACUCUGACGAGACAUUGGUGGAUCAAUUUUACGAAAGAAUCUGUUGCUUCUCCUUCCAAAGAUCUGGAUUUUUUCUACUAUGGCAAUGAAAUAGUCACAAAAUGAUACGACCUGUUGCCAAAAGUACCUGGAAAUUGCUGCACAGACUGCUUUAUGGUCCGACUUAAUUGAAUUGUUCAAAUGUUUCCGUAAUUUUAUUUAUUUUAGAAUAUUCUGUCAUUCUGAUGCGUGAUUGUUAUACUUUUAGCUUUCAAAUUAUUAAUAAUUAAGUAUGAAUGGAGUGGCUGGAGUUACUUACGAGAUUCUCAACUUGUAUAAAUAAUUCAACUUAUAAAUGAGACGUCGAUAAGCGUACUUCGUUGACUACAGAUUUUAGAAAUUUAUGGAUUAUUAAUACUCUAGGGUAUUAAGUUCAUCCCAUGCAGGGCUUGGGAUUUUUUGUUUUAAGUAUAUAUUAUUUAAUCGUAUAUUGAAUAACGAAUUAUCUCUUUGUUGAAGGAU